rnacentral:rRNA from 1 species
GAUGAACGCUAGCGGCAGGCUUAAUACAUGCAAGUCGAGGGACAGCACAGGUAGCAAUACUGGGUGGUAACCGGCAAACGGGUGCGGAACACGUACACAACCUUCCUUUAAGUGGGGGAUAGCCCAGAGAAAUUUGGAUUAAUACCCCGUAAUAUAGUUGAAUGGCAUCAUUUGAUUAUUAUAGCUACGGCGCUUAAUGAUGGGUGUGCGGCUGAUAGAUAGUUGGCGGGGUAACGGCCCACCAAGUCUACGAUCAGUAGCUGAUGUGAGAGCAGGAUCAGCCACACGGGCACUGAGAAACGGGCCCGACUCCUACGGGAGGCAGCAGUAAGGAAUAUUGGUCAAUGAACGCAAGUCUGAACCAGCCAUGCCGCGUGAAGGAUUAAGGUCCUCUGGAUUGUAAACUUCUUUUAUUUGGGACGAAAAAGGGCCUUUCUAGGUCAACUGACGGUACCAGAUGAAUAAGCACCGGCUAACUCCGUGCCAGCAGCCGCCGUAAAAC